rnacentral:rRNA from 1 species
GGCGCAAGCGUUAUCCGGAAGUUAUGGUCGUAAAGAUCUNGUANACUGAUUGUCGUGUCUGCUGUGAAAUCCGGAGGCUCAUCCUCUGCCUUGCANUGGAUCCGUGCAGCCUAGAUUCCGAUAGGGGAGAUUGGAUUUCUUAGUGUAGCGGUGGAAUGCGCAGAUAUCAGGAGGAACACAGAUGGCGAAGUCAGAUCUGUGGGCUGUAACGGUCUCUGAGGAGCGAAAGGGUGGGGAGCAACCAGCCUUAGAUUCCGUGGUAGUCCACCCAUUAACCGUUGCGAUCUAGUUGUGGGGACCAUUCCGCGGUUUCCGUGACGCAGCUAGGGCUUUAAGUUCCCCCCCUGGGGAUUUCGUCCGCAAGGCUAAACUUCAAAGGAAUGGACGGGGCCCGGCACAAGCGGCGGAGCAUGCGGAUUAAUUCGAUGCAUCGCGAAGACCCUUACCAAGGCUUGACAUACACCAGAACACCGUAGAAAUACGGGACUCUUUGGACAUUGGUGACCAGGUGGUGCAUGGUUGUCGUCAGCUCGUGUCGUGAGAUGUUGGGUUAAGUCCCGCAACGAGCGCAUCCUUCGUUCUAUGUUGCCAGCACGUAAUGGUGGGAACUCAUGGGAUAUUUCCGGGGUCAACUCGGAGGAAGGUGGGGAUGACGUCAAAUCAUCAUGCCCCUUAUGUCUUGGCCUUCACGCAUGCUACAAUGGCCGGUACAAAGGGCUGCAAUCCCGUGAGGUGGAGCGAAUCCCAAAAAGCCGGUCCCAGUUCGGAUUGAGGUCUGCAACUCGCCCUCAUGAAGUCGGAGUCGCUAGUAAUCGCAGAUCAGCAACGCUGCGGUGAAUACGUUCCCGGGUCUUGUACACACCGCCCGUCAAGUCAUGAAAGUCGGUA